GUAUAUUUCUGAGAGUCGGACGGUAUAUUUAUCGAUCUGGUCACACUGACACACGCGUCUUUUCGCUGGCUUUUUUUUUCGUUUAUAUUAAAUUAAUUUAUCACUUGUUUUCCUAACUGGUGGCACAUUCACCAGGACCAUGGGCUCCUCCAAGAAGCACAAGAAGAACAAAUCAGAGCGCCGGGAUAAAUAUGAAGAAUAUAGCCAGCACCAGAAUCCGGCCCAUUUGCAGCGGGGACUGAAGCUCAUCCUGAAAGUGGCCACUCCUGAGUACAGCUCCAACUCCCACAUGACGUCCAGCGCGGUAGAUGGACCCCCCACGGCGGCCGAGGCCAUGAUGUCUCCGGUGCCUGAUGAAUUGCAGGAAACGGGUGGUCACCGUGAGCGCCACAAAAAGUCCAAGAAAAAGAAAAAGAAGAAGGACCGUGAGAAGAAGCACAAGCACCACAAGGAGAAGCGGCACAAGAGCCGCGACAAACAUCGAGAUGUGGACUCGGUGGAUGAAGAACUUGCAGCGCUCAACGAUGAUGCGGCCUGCAGUGGAUUUGGAUCGCAACAGGCGGUUAUACCGCCACCAAUUGAUGCCGACUCGAGCCAGGACGGCUUCAGCUUCAUGGACGACGAUCAGUCGCAGCCGCUUCCAGAGAAUAUACUUUUUUACGCCGGCAUCACCACCGACAACUCUCCGUCCAAUUGCCCGGUGAGCAAGCCGAUUGCCCCGCGCAAACUGGAUGAGAUACUAAUGGCUUCCUCGCCCGCAUCAUCAUCACUGCCAUCGUCAUCGCUGGGCCUGGCAGGCAGCAGUCCCACCAAGCCACUACCAGACCUCCAUAUCCCAUCACCUUCCACACCAGGCGGCGCCAGCUCCCAGAAUACUUUAACACCCAAAGCUCUGGAGGCGCCGAGAACUCCAAGCAGCAGCAGUGAGUCCGGCCGAGAGCCACGAACCUGCGUCCUCAAGCUGAAGCAGCAGAAAUCGCCGCUCAACAAGCUGCUGGAGCAUCUGCUGCGCUUCCUGGAGAAGCGGGAUCCGCACCAGUUCUUCGCCUGGCCCGUCACAGACGACAUUGCCCCCAAUUACUCGUCGAUCAUCAGCAAGCCCAUGGACUUCUCCACCAUGCGCCAAAAGAUCGAUGGCCACGAGUACUCCACGUUGACCGAAUUCAGCGAUGACUUCAAGCUGAUGUGCGACAACGCCAUUAAAUACAACCACGUGGACACGGUCUACAACAAGGCGGCUAAGAAGCUGCUGCAGGUCGGAAUGAAGCAUUUGCAGCCGGAGAAUAUGAUGAGGAGUCUCAAGCCCCUCUCUGGUUUCAUGCGAGAGCUGACGGCCAAGGAGCUGGGCUUUGAGUUGAGCUCGAAUGAGAUGGGCUACGAUCUGCAUGAUUCGGCGGAUGAGGGAGCCUCAACGGGGGCAGAAGAGCCACCCACACCAGCUCAACUGGAGGAGGAGGAGCGCAAGAGAGCCUUGCGCCUGGAGAAUGCACCCAAAAACCAUUUCGAGCCGUAUGUAGAUGACCUGACUGGCGAGGAGAUCCUGGCCCAGGUACAGAAUGCCGCCCAACAGGCCAAGCAGCGUGUGAACGCCAAGAAGAAUGCCCACAAAAUGGGUUUCCUGCGUCAAGGCCGCGAUGGCAGCACCACCUUGAAUCUGCUCAUCAAAGAGGAAACCGAGGGCCCCGAGCGAGUCGUAACCAUUGGCGAUCUGGUGGGCAAACUCCAGACCGGCAGCACUCAGCUGCAAGUGCGUCAGGUCGAUAGCCGCAAUGUGGUGAAGCCCGUGAAGCCGCUGAGCUACGGAGCCUAUGCCAGCUUCGCGCCGACCUUCGACUCCCGAUUCUCCACGCUGAGUGCCGAGGAGACGAAGCUCGUGCUGCGUACUUACGGCGAUGCCUCCAGCGCGGAGUACGCCGAGAGCAUUCUUCAGUUCACUAAGGACUCUAGCUUUGGCACCAACAUAGCCAACGGCCUGCUGGACAUUCUCACCAACGGGGAGCACAGCAAGUCCCUAGACGAACUCUACAACAUGCAGCUGCACUCGUACGAGCAUCAGGAAAUCGAGAAAUGCUUCGACACCGAGGAGUCAUCCACUGCGCAGGCCCAGCCACAGGAAACCCAAGAGCAAAUUGAGCAGGAGUACGAGAAGUACAAGAAAACUCGCGUGGACUUCAAGCGCUUGCAAUCCCUCAAGGAACUGGGCAUCGAUGUGAGCUUCCUGGACAGCAUGGAGACGGAAAUGAAGACUUUUGAGCUCAACCGCCGUAUGCACGAGCAUCUAAGCAAUAAUCUCACUCUAAUCGAGAAGCUGCGGGUAACCCAGCACGAACGCCUCUCCCAACCGCUGCCCAGCCACCUGGGUCUAGUGCAGCCAGCGGGUCAGGAGGAGGCCCAAACCGCGCAGCAACUGACGCAGCAGAUCAGCGACUUGGCCAAGAAGCUGCCGCCCUCCGCCAUAGCAGAUCCCUUUGCUCUGCGAAAGGCCAUGGGAAUGUCUUAUGCUGGUUUGCCGCCACCACCGCCCGCCUCACCGCGCGUCCAACUGCCGGAACUUCUCCAGCAGCCUGUGGGCCUGCCCCAGCUGCCGCCAGUGCCUAUGGACAUUGACGAGCAGGAUGAGCCCAGUGGCGGUGUCGCUGGGGAUCUGGAGAACGAGCUGCGCGAGUUUCUCGAAAGCGGCUCCGGCAUGCACUCAUCGAAUCCAUCCGACGACAACAGCAUUGUGGCACAACUGCUGCUUAAUUAGUGCGAUAGAUGCGGAUGCGGGAUACCAUGACGCGCGCUAUGUUUAUAAUGUUUUUAAAAAUAUGCAAGCUCGUGUAAAAGGGGAGCAGAUGCUAACAGAUUCCUAAAGAGGAGAUUGCUUUUACGUACAAUAUUGAAUGGGUCCCACAUUGGAAGAAGUGGAAUUUCUUAAUGCAGGAAAAUUGUUAUUUUGAAACCACAUUCUUACCUUUAACCAUGAAAGCACAUUAAAACGACUCCCUGAAACUAUUUUUCAUUUAAAAAAAUAAAAGUAAAUUACUCCUAA